rnacentral:lncRNA from 10 species
AGCUGCUCUAUUUCUUCCCUUUUCACUUUCUCUUUCCCACCAUUUGCCUGAAGCUCCUCAUCCCCUUCCUUGUGCCUCCUCAGAAUUCUACCAGUGCACCUCAUUCAGACAUUCAUCAAGAAAAAGGCCAGCUGAAGGCAGACAGCCAACAAAACUCAGUCGUUAGCCACAGCCCUGGCUGUCCUCGUCCAUCAAGCCUGCCCAUUGUGAGCUUCCAUUCAUCUUACCUGUCUGUUAUGGAAGAGUGAAGUGGAAAAGGCAUGGAGGACUCAGAAGACCUGCUACCGAGAAGAGCCCCAUUGCAAUCAGAAGAUUAUUUAUGGAAAAAAGCAAAAUGGAGAUAUUUAAAAGACGGAGAGAGACAGCAGAAAGCUGCUUAAGAAAUUGCUUUGAGUCCACAGGAGGGAAGCACAAAGGAGAUGGGAUAAUAGUGUUAUACACUACAUGAUAUCACAGAGCUGGCAGAGUUAAUGAGUAUCUUGGACAAUUGCACCAAAUGCAAUGGAUUGGGAUCACUAAAUCAAGACGUAAUUUGAUAGAAAUAAAGUGGUCCUAGGAAAACUAACACAGCAGGCUUAUGCUGAUGGAGCAGAUGCAAGCCUGUGAGCCAGCACGGAUUUCCCAGGAACGUUGCUGUUCGCUAGGCCACGUGCUGGCCUCACAGCUGGUGAUGAGAAGGCGAAGACAGAGUCAGCUUAACCAAGGCACUGUGGGCUCUGUGAAAGCCUUUGGCUUCAUCUUAUGCACCAGAACAGGCCACUGAAGGGCUGUUAAGGUGAGUUCUGUGCUUUAGAAAAAGAACUUGAGAGUGUGGGGGUAGUAGGAAGAAUGGGUUGUAAUAGGGGAACUGGAGAAAUGUCAGUUAGGACAGAGUUUCAACUGGGAAGUGUUUGGCCCCCGUACUGAAUACCUUAAAAUCUUGGCCAGAACCCUGUGAUGUCUGAAGAAGAAAA